AGCUAUUAUUAUUUUAUUUCCAAAUCUCUGGAAAAAUAAAUGCAACUAAAAUUUUCUUUAGAAGAGGAAGAGAGAGAUGGUUUAUAUCACAGAAACGGAGAUGACAGUAAAUAAAUAAAUGACGAGUAGCUGCAGGGAAGAAACUGGACACUGAAUUGCCAAUAUGCUGGUGCUUGUUCAUUAAAACAUACUGAAGACUGGAGAAAUGAUCCCAAGCUGUGGGUUCUUCCCUGCACAUAUCCCAGACAGGAUCACAAAAAGAAGAAGCAGACAAUACUCGCUGGCUCCCUUUUACAACCAGGCAUAUUCAGAAGAUCAGUGCAGCAGUGGAGAUCAGCUCUCGUGCUUGACAGGUGGAUGGCACUAAAAGAGGCUGAGUCAUUAAAGUGCUUAUUCCUAGCUCAAAGCCACUUGGUGAGAGGCAAGAAGCUUUGCUGACUUGACAGAGGGACACAUUCUCUCUUCUUUUUGUCUUUCUGCACAUGUGUAGUUGAUCUGCCAUAAGGUAAAGGGAAGAUUUAAGCCAGCACAAUCAUAUAAGGCAUUGCAUUCAAAUUUAUCCUACUAUUGUCAGAUUUCCUCAGGUUUCCCUGCUUCCAUGAAGAAAUGCCACAACCUCCUUGGGUCCAUGUACUGUUUAUGCUAGGGAACCCUGAGCUGGACCCAGCUGUGGCCUGCUGAGUGCAGAACAGAAGCGAAGGAUAAUCUCCUUCAACCUCCAACACUCCUAAUGCAGCCCAGGAUAUCACUCACCCUUUGCUGCCAUAUUCAUAUUCAGCUUGGUGUGCACCAGGACCACCAGAAUAUUGUCUGCCAAGCCAGAAUUGAAAGAUUGAAAGAUUAGCGUUUUCAGCAUUUAAAACUGUUUUGGUUUUUGGGUUUUAAAACUAUUUUUUAAUGGCUGGUAAAAAACAGACACAAAGAAUAAAUCUGUAAAUCACAUGUUUAUGUGACAGGCAGGAAUUUAAAGUUUUAUAACUAAAGACACCUCAAACUAUCUGAAACUAUUUAGUGCAAGAUCACAUCAGAUGUAAUUCUGUCCUUCCUCCUCCUAAAUCAUCUUCUUGGGGAAAAUUAUUUCUUGGUACAUGCACAGAGGCUUCUUUCCAACUUGGGUGAACAACAGUUACCUGUUUGUCUUUUGUGUAUGACUCUAACUUCUGGGUUAUGGAAAACUAUAAACACUCUUCAUAUCUACAUUUUAAGGGCGGAGACACUGGGAUUAUAGGUUGUGAGACCAAAUUUCUUGUGUUUAGAGUUGAGAAUGAGAUGGAAAUGGUGGUGUGCCAAGGAAGGGGUGGUCUAGGUCCUUGACUUGAAAGCUGUCAUAAGGAAGAAGGGGAACACACUGGAAGAGGUAAAUAAGAGAGUCUGAGGAGUGAAAUUGUUGUAGUCUGUGGUUUAUGUGGUGGUUGUGGGAAAUAAGAUCUUCAGUCACAUAUUUUGGUGGCAUAUGCCAAAUGUUUUUAAACCCUUCAAUAAUAACAUCAGCAGCUGAAAAGAGCUUCCCUUGCUACAGAGGUCUUAUGACAGUUCAGUGUGGGGAGCAAAAGUCUGGACUGAUUAAAAAUAUAAACAUGGCAAAGAACUCUUUCUCCCCUACAAUAGGAAGCAGGUGCUGUAUCUGUAAUAAGUAAAUGUCAGUCUUUGAAGGUGUAGUCCACACAAAAUUCUUCUAAAGCAGAGAUGAAUAAUAUCACAUUUUGUUUAAAGAAUAGCUAGGUCUUUUAUCCCAUCUCUGAAAAUAAGAAAACUACUUCUAAAUGAAACUAUCCGUUAUUGCUCAAGAAAUAAUAUGAAAAUAUGCUACCGCUGCUCCACAGGCAUUCUUUGUUCUUUUAUUUAAUUGGCUUAUCCACAUAAAGGCAGUUUAACAAGACAAGGCUGGUGCCUUUGGGAAAUAAGAGAUGAUUGGGAUGCUGUAAAAUUAGGCCCAAAGAAACCCAAGAAGAGCAAAUUAGUCAUUUUAGAACAGCUACACUGCAGUACCAGUAACCUUAAGAACAAAAGUAACAGAGAAUUAUUUAUUCAGACAAAACCCCAGUCUUAAACAGUCUCAAACAAUGUUGACAUUGCUACCAUCCAUCUCUUUGUCACUAAGAAAAAACAGUACUUUCAUUUAAAGGACUUACAGUUUAGAAAGAACAAGAGAAGGGAAUUAUAUCUCAGUAGAAAUAAUUGGAAAAAGUGGAAUAAGUAGAAACCAAUAUUUUCUUGGAGUUUAAAGGGGAAAAAAGCAUCAAGGAUAGUGAGUACAUAUGAUAAGGGAGAGCUUUGAUUCCCUUGUUUUGCUUAUGGUUGAUGUAAAACAGGAUUUAAAACAUUGAACUUGGAGAUUGUGAAAAAGCAGAAGAGAUAAAGAUAAAACUUGAUAGAAAUAGAGAACUAAGAAUUCGGAGAUUAUUUAGAGAUACUAUUUAAAGAAAUACAGAAAGUAAAUUAAUGUGAAUUUCUUUAAAGGAAAUAUGAUCUAGGCAAAUUCAAGGCAAAAAAAUGUCCAAAUAUUUGCUCCCAGGGGAGCAAUGAAGAAAACAGAAAUAGAAGGGGAGAACAGAGGUCAAAGAGGACUUGCUGUGAGGACACCAAGGAUGUUUUAGCAUUGACUCUGUGAAGCUGAAGGAUCAACCCUGAACAUGGGGCCAGCAGCCUCCCUUUUCCCUAUAGCUACAUUGGAGGGUGCAAAUAGCUUCUUGUCCCCUUAGCUGGAACAUCCUACAAAACCAGUCAGGGACAGCUGGGCUGGGGGAAUGAGUCCAGACUGCACUGCACACACAGAACUUGACUGGCCAGAACACAAAAGCCUGUCAAGCUCUUUCCAAUGGAAAUAAAUAGUUAAAAGAAAAAGAGAAAAACAACUGAUAGAUCAAUGAUCAGCAUAAGCCUUUCCUCAUCUUUCUGCUGAAUUGCCAAAAAUCUGUGGGUGUGAGUUCCCUUUCCCUUCUGUUGUCCAAGGAACCUGUAAAGGAGCAGGGAGUGAAUGUGGUGAGGGGCAGAGAUCUCCUCCUCUUAGCAUUCAAGGUGCCUGCUGUGAUAACUGUGCUGCCCAUGGGUUUGCAGGGGUUUAGCAGGAUCCUUAUUUGGCAGAAAGGAAUGCUCUGGGGUGGUUGCUGACUUUUGGACAAUAGUUCAGCAUGACAGAAUAGAGAGGAAGACUUGUGCUGCUCUGCAGGUAAGGACAAGACACUGAUCUGACUUUAGCCCUUAGAAAUAUGUGCUCCCAGCUCCAUUUGUGUCUGAGAGCACACAUCUUUUCUUGACAGAGAGGAAUCACCUCCAUUUAUUCAAGCAGUCACUAGGCUGCUGCUGCUUUCAGACAAUAAAUUUUGUCCUUCUUCAGAGACUAAAUUCCAAACAUGUUCAUAUUCUAAGAAAAGCAUCACUAAUACUUCAUCAUGAUGCUGUUCCUGUUCAGGUUUAUAGAAAGAAUGUCACUUUAUCGAAAUUUCCAAAACCAGAAGUUUUAAGUGUCUUGAUUGAUUCACAAAGUUCAAAGUCAUUCACCAGGUACCAAAAUAAAUGGUGAUAUUUUUAGAAAAGAUUACCCUCUGCUGAAAUAUUAGGCUAUGUUACAAUUCUAACUGUUGGCUGCAUUCAGAAUGUAAGAUUUCUGGAAAAUAAUAUCUGCUAUAUAAAUAUUGAAAUAUUGGAACUUUUACCUCUUGACAGAGUAUUUCCAAAUCUGUGGAUGAUAGACUACUAUGGGCUGAUAUUUAAUGCCUACAUGUAUUACAGGUAUUCUACAUGUAUUAUUUAAGCCAAUGUUUCUGCUUCUUACAACCAUCACUCUCAAGUAGAUUUUCUACCAUUAAACUGUAGCUGUAUCCUAACUCUCAUUAAUAGUUUUGGUUUUGUUAAGUAUUAAAUAGAUUUAGUGGUGUAUAUAUAUGGAGUACUCUGAAGCAUUCUUCCAUCCCAUAUGCAGCUGCUGUUCUCUAAAUUGAUGAGA